CUAGCGCAGGGAGAAGUCGCACCAGUCGGAGCGCAGAGGGACACGCAGACAUUUCAGCAGAGGCCUCAAAGGCAGAACAAAAUAGUGCAAGGAGCCGCACAUCCGCACAGUGCUGAGACCCUGCCCAGGACAAGCUUGACAAAAAAGAAGAAAAUUGGGUCUUGUUAUGUUGCCCAGGCUGGUCUCCAACUCCUGGCCUCAAGUGAUCCUCCCAGCUUGUCCUUCCAAAGUGUUGGGAUUAUAGGUGUGAGCCACUGUGCCUGGCCAUGUCUGAAUGUUGAAUGUUGACAGCUUCAGUGAAUUGACCCCUCUUUCACCUAUGGGACUUAUGAAGAGAGAAUCUUUCUGGCAUUGCAUAAUCCUUCCCAAGAGUACUUUAGCUGUGGUAACCCUUCUUGUUAUAAAACAUGCCAGAUCCUGGCACCCAAGUGACAACCUGCAUUGAAAAGGCGGAACUUGGCUCUCCUGCCCUGCCAGCUGUAAGAGCUUGAAAGCAAAGCUAUGGGGGGAAUGUCUUUCAUUUCCCCCUGGAAGCUGGGAGGACGUUCAGCUUAGCAUUGCCAACUGUGUAAUGUGGACUUGCCUCUAAAAGAAGCCUUUUUCCUUGGAUGUCUUUCAGGCCGCAGUAUUCCCUUUGGCACCCCCACCCACCUGGAACAAAGCCUGAUGUAAAGUCUGGGUGCGACUCAGACCGGCCUGGGAAAGAAUUUAUUUAAUAAAUGGUGGAAAGUGGCUUCCUUGACGUGUCUUCGAUGGCUUUUUUAUAAAGCAUUUGGUUUGUCUACUCGUCUGUUUUUGCGCCAUCUCUUUCCACAAAGAUGGCUUAUAGCAGGGAUACUUACAACAAAAUGAUGCUGGGAAAACAAAAACAAAGAAGUAGAGAAUUAGGCCUGAGAAAACUAGGAGUAGAGAGUCACGAUUAGAUACAGAGGAGCAUAGAUGUGUAGUCUAGGAAGGCCAACUAAUUGUUAUAGCUGAAAUUCAAAUUCAGUUAGCUAAAAUGUUCCUAGUGUCAAAGGAAGAAUGGGCCACACAGUUGCAUAAUCCUUAGUAUUAGGGAGAAGGAAAAGGUUCCAGUUAUUCAGAGGGAUGUUCUCUUGCCUUAUUCCUUUAAUAAGUAUCUGUUAAAGGCCCACCAUGUGCCAAGCACCAUGCCCGGCAAGCACUGCACUCACCCCCCAGGAACUCAGUGUCUAAAGGAGACUGGGUGAAAGAACUAUAUUUGUGUGCCUAUGAUGUGUCAAAUACUAUGCAUUUAGUUAUGCAGUUACUGUAUGUUAGACACUAUGCAUUUAAUUAUUUACCUGCUGUAUAUCAGACACCAUGCAUUUUCAUUUAACCCUCAUAAGCACUUACAUCAAGUAGACACUGUUACCUCUUUUUUACAG
rnacentral:lncRNA from 10 species